rnacentral:tRNA from 1 species
GCUUCGGCAGUGUAAUGGAUCGGCAUGGCAGAUUGGAUAUCUGUAAAUCCGGGUUCGAGUCCCGCCUAAGGUU